AAAUUGGAGAAGAAAGAGGUUUUGAAUGUAUCCAAGAAUUUAGACAUAAAAAAGGCCAGAGGCUUGGUGGCGAAUAUUUGGGUUAGUAACAUUUUUACAAUCGGCAUGCACCAACAUUUAAAGCAAUAGUGGUAAAAAGGAAAUAGCUUUCAACUGUUUCUAAGGCCACCUACCACAGGAGGCGCUGUUCACAAACGGGCUAACCGGUUUUAAUCAGCCUCGGCUGCUCAUUUCGUUCUUCCGGUGCCCCCACAGCCCCGCUCCCUCCCGAUGCUAGCACCGUCGGGCUUGGCUGUGGGAGCGUAAUGGCGGUGCACCGGGGACCCUCUACGAAAUGGCUCUUCACCCGGGAGCAGCUCGAGAACACGCCGUCUCGACGCGGCGGAAUAGAGGCCGACAGGGAGCUCUCUUACCGGCAGCAGGCGGCCAACUUAAUCCAAGACAUAGGCCAGAGACUCAACGUUUCUCAACUGAUAAUCAACACUGCUAUAGUAUAUAUGCACAGGUUUUAUAUGAUCCACUCCUUCAGCAAAUUCCAUAGAAACGUCAUUUCUCAGACUACGUUGUUCCUGGCAGCUAAAGUUGAGGAGCAGCCCAGAAAGUUGGAGCAUGUCAUUAAAAUAGCCCACGCCUGCAUUAACCAACAAGAGCCAGCCCUAGACACUAAGAGCAACGCAUUCCAGCAGCAGACACAAGAGCUCGUAGCACUGGAAACGAUAGUGCUGCAAACGCUGGGUUUUGAAAUAACAAUCGAUCAUCCACACACAGAUGUUGUGAGGUGUUCCCAGCUAGUGCGAGCAAGCAAGGAUUUGGCACAGACUUCCUAUUUCAUGGCUACCAACAGGUUAUUAUCCUGUUCCCAUUAUUGCACUGUAAUGGCACACUAUAGCUUCCUGUCCUGCAGGGCCCCCCUUCCUGUGUCCAACGCCCUGUUUGCGCCUGGGUCCCCGGGAACCCCCAGUUCGGGGAAGUACUGGCCAGGCUGCUGUGUGCGGUGUAUUGUACAAGGGCUGUGUGUUGGCACAUAGGGGUUGAAUGCACAAUGUGGAGUGUAGUGGUGCUGUUUACCUCUCACGGUUGUUUGGUACGGAGUGCAUAUGUCUAAAGAAAGAACUCAAAUGGUAGCCUGAAUAUAGAUUGCCACUAAAGAUUCUUAAACUUAUAGAGUGCUUUGGUAAGUAUAGUUUACAGUUUUUCAAUUUUGUUUGCACAUUUUUCACCCUAAAAGAGUUAAUAAUGAAAACGCCAAACUACACUGCAAACUGAAUGCUUGUUCUGUGUGGUAAUGCAGUUUUUAUUUUUUUUUAAAUCGAACAGUUUAAUGCAUUUGUACAGAGGCUGAUAGUUUGAUAUGCAAGUCUGAGAGAUUGAUGUUCCCAGCAGAUGAUGGUAGAUAGGAUCUCUUAAUUUGGGGUUAUGCACAAAGAAUCCAGGUGGAAGUGUAGUGAAUAAUAUCAGUGGUGUAUCUCCGAGACUGGGUGACAUUACAGAAGUGGCCAAAAUGUCUCUGUUUGGGGAUAUGUCGCACAAAGGACUUAAACUACUAUUUUUUUACCUUAACGCCACCUACUUUUUCUUUUUACAAUACUUUGAAAUGCAACUCACAUGAAAACUAAAUCAUGCUUUGCGUCUUAAGAGAGUUGCAAAACAGAGGCCUUGUACUUUUGCUCAGCAGGAGACAUCGUACUUGUACGGCGGUGUGCUUCUGAGUUCGCUUGGUAAAUACAAGCUUUAAUCCACAGGAGCCAGUUUGCGGUGUAGUUUGGGAUCCAGGGUGCAGAGAAAGUUAACUGUAGAAAACAUAAAGCCUUCUGCUCAUUUGUCUUUAAGUUCCCUCGUUUGAUGUUGUGAAGUUUCCAAGUUAAAAAACACUGUCACUACUCAUUUUACACUCAUAGCUAGUAUAUCUUAUUUUAUUUGUUUGUUGGUUGUAAUUUCUUGCUCCAUUGAGAAACAUUUUUUUAAAGUUCUUCAUUUUUUUUAAAUCCAAAUGUGGCCAAAUCAGUUUCAAUAUAUCACAUAAAAGUGUGUGUGUGUGUGCGUGAGUCAUUCAUACGCUUAGAAGAUAUCCUAACAAAUGGGGUUUCUUAGCUGUCACUGUGCUAUGAGGUAAGGCUGUGUGUAUGUGAUGUGAACAUAAUAUUAGUCUGGUUGUCAGUGAACCUCGCCUCGUUUAAUGGUCUAAAAUGAUUACACGUGUGUGUGUUGUUGUGUAAAAAGCCUCCAGCUGACGGUCGUAUCUUUCUCCUCUGCUUCUUGUCGUCGUCGUCGUCCCCCUCCUCCCCUUGCAGUUUGCAUCUCACCACCUUCUGCCUGCAGUACAGGCCCACGGUCGUCGCGUGCGUCUGCAUCCACCUGGCCUGCAAGUGGUCCAACUGGGAGAUCCCCGUGUCUACGGACAGUAAACACUGGUGGGAGUACGUGGACCGCACCGUGACGUUGCAGCUGCUGGACGAGCUUACACACGAGUUUCUCCAGAUCCUGGAGAAGACGCCCAGCAAACUGAAGAGGAUACGAAACUGGAGGGCUAUUCAAGCAGCUAAGAAGCCAAAGACGGAGGGCGCAACAGUGGAUAGUGCCUUCCAGGGGGGGUCCUUGGACGGCCUCCCCGGUGUCACCAACUCUUUCUUCCCCUCCACCUCAUCGGACUCCUCGGACAUGCCCUCCCUCAACAACAUUGCAGCCUCCUACGCAUCCUACCAGCCGCUGAGCGACCAGUCCAAGAGCUGCGGCUACGACCACUUCUCCGAGCCGCACCUCUCAGACUUCGCGCUGGUGAAACACGAACCCAAAGCAGCGGGCGGUACUUCCGCCACCGCCGGCAGCAAAAACCAGCAGCUCGCCGCAAACGCAGCCGCCGCCUUUUCGCGGCCGCAGAAGGUCUUGACUCUAGAAAAGUACAGGGAGAAACACGCGGCGGCGGGGGACCCGGCCUCGCAGAACGGCACGAAGGACGAGCCGGGCGCGGAUAUGUACGCGGCCCCUCCGGUCAUCUCCUCGCACCACCACAAGAAGCGCUCCCAGGCGCAGCAGGGGGGGCACACCGGCGACAGCCGAAGAGACAAAAGCAGCUCCAAAAAGGCGCGGCUGCCGGCGUCUUUUGCCGAGAACGGCGCCGCCACGGGCGAGGAGCUCAAGAUGAGAAUCAAAGUUUCGUCGGAGCGCCACGGGAGCUUGGAGCAGGGCGGGACUCUGUCCGGCAAAGACAAGCACAAAGAGCACCGCCACUCCAAACACGGCCACUCGCACCCGUACUCCCUCAGCGGUAACAGCAGAGGGACAAUAGAGAACGCCUCCUUGUCUAUAAAAGCGCCCGACGCGGGCUCGUCCAGCUCGUCUCGCAAGAGGCCCCACUCGGACGGCGGCAACCACAAUCACAACAACCACCACCACCACUCGUCCAAGAGCAGCCGGAGCAAAGGAGGCCUCGGCUCGUCCCACUACUCGACCGAGAGCGGCCAGAGGGUGAUGGAGCACGACGGGAGCAACGGCGUGCUGCCCCCCAACGGCCAACACACCGACUACAAAGACACUUUCGACAUGCUGGACUCUUUACUAAGUGCCCAAGGAAUGAACUUGUAACCCUCGGAGAGUCCGCAGUGUUAUCUAGAAUAAGGUAUUUCCAUGUUUAAAAGAAUUUUAAAAGAAAUUUUAUUUGUCUUAAGUUAUCGCAAUUCUGCACCGCCCUCAGUUGUGUCCACACACUGAUUAUUGACGAGUCUCGUGAAGUUGUCAAAAAAAAUGUCACUUGAUAUGCAUAGAGCCGUGUGCUACUAAGCGUGCAACAACGAAAAUAAGUUUUAAAGACGCGUCUGGAAUAAUGAGAUUUUAAACCUUCUUUUACCUGACAUUAUGAUUUUAAUGUGCAUGUUUGAAGUCACACAAAAGGGAAGGCAAAGCUAGUAUUCGCAGCCGUCGUGACCGUUUACAGACAGUUGUGUGUGUUUUUUUUGUUGUAUGUUGAGACAUUUUGUUCCACUGAAAAUCUCAGGUCUUGAACUUUUUUGAUAUAAGAACGAAUCUUCCUCUGUUUGGGUUUCAUCGCCUGUAUCCGUGGAGAUGCAUCACGUCGUCCGUUUGCUGACGACGGCAGAACUCCGUCGUCCGUCUUAGGAAACACGGUCUGCUUACCUUUCAAUAAUUUAAAAAAAACAAUACAAAUGUGAGGCAGAACCCAUUUGCUGUCCAAGGCCGCGCCUAAACUUAAUGUGCAGACUCUUUCUGGAGCUACAAAUGAAGUUUACGUUACAUCUGCUGUGAAAGAUAUAUCGGCUACAAUUGCGAAACGGCCCUGUGAUUGUACCUCGCCGAUCGCUAUACAGUAUGAUACAUGUUAUUAACUAUCAGAAAAUACAGAUCUCUAAAGUAAGAUUGUGUGUAUAUAGGACUGUAGUUGAGAUUUCAACCUGUUGGUUUGUUGACUUUCUCCAUUCAGUGUAUCCUGAGGUCUCUGUAUUGAUGAACAUGUCCUCAAUUUGUGUAUUGGGAGCCUAAAUAAAGGUGUAAAGGUC